ACCCACUCUCAUUCAAUCUCAGAUUUAAUGGCUUCAAAUAUGUAGGAUUAAGCGUUUUCCGAUACCAACCAGCAAGAUUCGAGUCGUUUUGGGUUCAUAGUAGUUUCCAAACUAUUUGGUCACUUUCCAGCGACGAUCCAAGUCGAUAUUGGGGAGUUUUAGGCGUCACAGCUCUAUUUUAAAGAACUGAUUCAAUUCUCAUUCUAUUAUUAUGAACAAAGGCAUUGGUGGUGGAAUUGGCCCCACCGCGGCAGCUGCAGCGGCGGCAGCUCAGAAACAGAAACUGCUUCUCCAAAGAGUGGAAACCGAUAUAGCCAACAUUGUUGACAAUUUCACUCACCUUGUCAAUGUCUCUAGGGUGAAUGAUCCACCUGUUAGAAAUUCACAGGAAUCUUUCAUGAUGGAAAUGCGUGCGGCCAGAAUGGUAAGAUAAUAAA